rnacentral:rRNA from 1 species
ACCGGCAGCUCAAGUGGUGGCCAUUUUUAUUGGGCCUAAAGCGUUCGUAGCCGGUUUGAUAAGUCUCUGGUGAAAUCCCGCAGCUUAACUGUGGGACUUGCUGGAGAUACUAUUAAACUUGAGGUCGGGAGAGGUUAGGGGUACUCCCAGGGUAGGGGUGAAAUCCUAGAAUCCUGGGAGGACCACCUGUGGCGAAGGCGCCUAACUGGAACGAACCUGACGUUGAGUCACGAAAUCGAGGUGCGCGGACCG